AACUGGCCUGAUCGAAGGUGUGGCUGUUUUUCAUACAACUGUCGUGCUCAAACCAUGGCCUACAGUAAAAGUUCACUUUAUGGUCGCUUUCUGACAUAACAUUGUCAAGUGAGCAUUACC